AGAGACAAGGAGACUGAAGCAAUGUAGGAGCCCAGAAUAGGUCCCGUACCAGAGGAAAGACAGCAAAGGACACCGUGGGGUGAAUGAGAAAAGUGGGACACGCCCAGCAGAUUAGAUGGAGACACUGUGUCACGCGACGUCACUGAACCUGACACUGCACCGUGGCUAUGUUGGGGAAUAUCUGUGGUCGUAUGAAAUGCGUACUGAAAUAAUCAGAAGGCAAAUAUUUGCAGGUAAAUGAGGUAUUCAGAGGCCACAGGAUUAAUCCAGGAACUUAUCAUGAGGUUUUAUUACCUUACAAGAACCGCUGUGCAUGGUUUACUGCUCUCAGAAGGCUUUGGAUCUAAGGGUGUCAGGGAGAUCUGCCCGGGUGCCUGUCCUUGGCAACGUCCUUCAGAGGCUCGGUGCAGAGGACACGGGUUCCCAGGGCUUGUAAAACCAGCCGGCAGCACGCCCUCCACAAGUGCUAUUUCCGCCAUUCCAUUCAAAACCACAGUGACCGCGGAAGCUAGCGCCUGCUCCUCGCCCCACACAGCCCUGGGAGAACCAUAGUGCAUCCUGCCAGAGAACACAGCCACCUGCCGUGGGCUGAAGGUCCCCACAUCCACACUCCUUUGGGAAGUAAUUAGGGAUAGAGGGGUCGUGACAGUGGGAUCAGUGUCCCUGUAAGCAGAGGAAGGGAACCCAGAGUGUGAUCUCUCUUGGCUAUAUGAGGACAGAGAGAGAUGCCACUGCCACUGAGCCAGGAAGGGGCCUCUCCAUGAAGACUGCUACCUUGGUCUUGGGCUCCCUGAGUCCAGGACAGUGAGAAAUAAAUUGAGCUGUGGUGUC